AGAGUUUGAUCAUGGCUCAGAUUGAACGCUGGCGGCAGGCCUAACACAUGCAAGUCGAGCGGUAGCACAGAGAGCUUGCUCUCGGGUGACGAGCGGCGGACGGGUGAGUAAUGUCUGGGAAACUGCCUGAUGGAGGGGGAUAACUACUGGAAACGGUAGCUAAUACCGCAUAAUGUCGCAAGACCAAAGUGGGGGACCUUCGGGCCUCAUGCCAUCAGAUGUGCCCAGAUGGGAUUAGCUAGUAGGUGGGGUAACGGCUCACCUAGGCGACGAUCCCUAGCUGGUCUGAGAGGAUGACCAGCCACACUGGAACUGAGACACGGUCCAGACUCCUACGGGAGGCAGCAGUGGGGAAUAUUGCACAAUGGGCGCAAGCCUGAUGCAGCCAUGCCGCGUGUGUGAAGAAGGCCUUCGGGUUGUAAAGCACUUUCAGCGGGGAGGAAGGCGAUAAGGUUAAUAACCUCAUCGAUUGACGUUACCCGCAGAAGAAGCACCGGCUAACUCCGUGCCAGCAGCCGCGGUAAUACGGAGGGUGCAAGCGUUAAUCGGAAUUACUGGGCGUAAAGCGCACGCAGGCGGUCUGUCAAGUCGGAUGUGAAAUCCCCGGGCUCAACCUGGGAACUGCAUUCGAAACUGGCAGGCUAGAGUCUUGUAGAGGGGGGUAGAAUUCCAGGUGUAGCGGUGAAAUGCGUAGAGAUCUGGAGGAAUACCGGUGGCGAAGGCGGCCCCCUGGACAAAGACUGACGCUCAGGUGCGAAAGCGUGGGGAGCAAACAGGAUUAGAUACCCUGGUAGUCCACGCCGUAAACGAUGUCGAUUUGGAGGUUGUGCCCUUGAGGCGUGGCUUCCGGAGCUAACGCGUUAAAUCGACCGCCUGGGGAGUACGGCCGCAAGGUUAAAACUCAAAUGAAUUGACGGGGGCCCGCACAAGCGGUGGAGCAUGUGGUUUAAUUCGAUGCAACGCGAAGAACCUUACCUGGUCUUGACAUCCACAGAACUUUCCAGAGAUGGAUUGGUGCCUUCGGGAACUGUGAGACAGGUGCUGCAUGGCUGUCGUCAGCUCGUGUUGUGAAAUGUUGGGUUAAGUCCCGCAACGAGCGCAACCCUUAUCCUUUGUUGCCAGCGGU
rnacentral:rRNA from 1 species